UAACAAGGUUUCCGUAGGUGAACNUGCGGAAGGAUCAUU
rnacentral:rRNA from 1 species